UAGGGAAUCUUCCGCAAUGGACGCAAGUCUGACGGAGCAACGCCGCGUGAGUGAAGAAGGAUUUCGGUUCGUAAAACUCUGUUGUUAGAGAAGAACAGCGCAUAGAGUAACUGUUAUGCGUGUGACGGUAUCUAACCAGAAAGCCACGGCUAACUACGUGCCAGCAGCCGCGGUAAUACGUAGGUCCCGAGCGUUGUCCGGAUUUAUUGGGCGUAAAGCGAGCGCAGGCGGUUAGAUAAGUCUGAAGUUAAAGGCAGUGGCUCAACCAUUGUAGGCGUUUGAAACUGUUUAACUUGAGUGCAGAAGGGGAGAGUGGAAUUCCAUGUGUAGCGGUGAAAUGCGUAGAUAUAUGGAGGAACACCGGUGGCGAAAGCGGCUCUCUGGUCUGUAACUGACGCUGAGGCUCGAAAGCGUGGGGAGCGAACAGG
rnacentral:rRNA from 1 species